rnacentral:sRNA from 1 species
GACAUGAGGUGGCGCUGUAUCCUAGUCGGAACUGUCGGUUACCAGGAAGGGCCUAAAAAUCCUUUGAAGGGCAUAUCGGUGAAGUCCCUGGUGCUUGCUUGUUGCGCCCAGCUUCGGGUGGGUGCUGGGGGUUAAGGUUACCGGGCGGCUCCCAAUGGCAUGGGAGGAACGACCCGGUUUCCGCGGAGACCUGUUUCUGUGCGGCCGCCGCACGUAUCCUGUGGACCAGGACGGCGUACGGGACAGGAGAGGAACCUGCAAUGCGGUGCUGCGAUGGCGCUGUGUGCAGCGUAGCCUGCCUUGCGUGGAUACGCCGGGAAAGAGGAGCUAUGCGCACGACGCCUGUGGCCACAGGCGUCGACGAUAUUCUCUGGAAACCGUAUCUGCAAAAGAGGCUAAGAGCCGACAGCGUUCGGGGUGGAAAACAUCUAGGCAGUCGUAACUGGAUCGAUCGAGGAUUACAGUACGGACUCAGUGGCAAUCGGGUACUGCGCACCGGCGACGGCGCAGCAUGCGCAUGAAAAGGGAACUGCCUCUUCGGCAACGGGAGGUUGCGCACGGGGAAAGCCAACCCGACCUAAGCCGUAAGAUUUACUCGAUCGAUCGCCACCUGUUUCAAA